rnacentral:rRNA from 1 species
UACGUAGGGUGCGAGCGUUGUCCGGAAUUAUUGGGCGUAAAGGGCUCGUAGGCGGUCUGUCGCGUCAGGAGUGAAAACUCGGGGCUUAACCCCGAGCCUGCUUCUGAUACGGGCAGACUAGAGGUAUGCAGGGGAGAACGGAAUUCCUGGUGUAGCGGUGAAAUGCGCAGAUAUCAGGAGGAGCACCGGUGGCGAAGGCGGUUCUCUGGGCAUUACCUGACGCUGAGGAGCGAAAGUGUGGGGAGCGAACAGG